UUGAAGGCGGCGGAGGAGUAGAUUGUGUAGUUUCCAUCGACUUUUUCUCUGAAGCUAGGACCGAUGGAGAAACCGGAAUUGACUGAAAAAAGGAAGAGUAAGCAUUACAUAUGCUAAUAGGAGAAAAGUUUUAAAAAAAAGAAGAAAAAAGAGUCGAUUACCGAAGAAGGAGGGAUGUCAGAGACACGAUCGGAAGUCUCUUCCGAUUCUUCUUUUGAUACAGUGGCGGUGUCAUCCGAGGGACUUUUGCUCGGAUAGGGCACUGUAAAUGGAAGAGAGAUAAAUAAAUAAGCAGGAGUUAUGUCGAACAGGGAAUUUUCUAUGAGUAAGAGACGUACCAAUUUAGUGAAUAGUUUUGCGGUGUGCCUGUGAGGUAGAUAAAUUGAAGGUAAUAUUGACAAAACGAUCCCAAUUAACGGUAUAGCGGAAACCUACAACUCCUGUACAAUU
rnacentral:lncRNA from 1 species